GAUGAACGCUAGCGGCAGGCUUAAUACAUGCAAGUCGAGGGGUAGCAAGAUUGUAGCAAUACAAUUGUUGACGACCGGCAAACGGGUGCGGAACACGUACACAACCUUCCUACAAGUGGGGAAUAGCCCAGAGAAAUUUGGAUUAAUACCCCGUAACAUAGCGAUGUGGCAUCACAUUGCUAUUAUAGCUUCGGCGCUUGUUGAUGGGUGUGCGGCUGAUUAGAUAGUUGGCGGGGUAACGGCCCACCAAGUCUACGAUCAGUAGCUGAUGUGAGAGCAUGAUCAGCCACACGGGCACUGAGACACGGGCCCGACUCCUACGGGAGGCAGCAGUAAGGAAUAUUGGACAAUGGACGCAAGUCUGACCCAGCCAUGCCGCGUGAAGGAUUAAGGUCCUCUGGAUUGUAAACUUCUUUUAUAAGGGACGAAAAAGGGUCUUUCUAGAUCGUCUGACGGUACCUUAUGAAUAAGCACCGGCUAACUCCGUGCCAGCCGCCGCAGUAAUAC
rnacentral:rRNA from 1 species